AUGGGCUACCAACCCAAGCACGGCGGCGGGGCCUCCGGGGCCGCGGGCGGCGGAGGUGGAGGUGCCGGUGCCGGUGCCGGUGACCACCUCCCGCGCCUGCACAGCCCCCGCGUCGCCGGAGGCGGGUACAUGACCCGCCGCGCCAACUCCUUCAAGCGCUGCCCCGGCGGCGAGAUCGAGCUCCAGAUCAGCGGCUCCCCGCGCUCGCCGCGGACCGACGGACUGGGCAGCCCGCCCAAGGACGCGGCGGAGGCCUCCCCCGGCGGCCUCCACCACCACCAGCAGCUCCGGUUCCGCCUCUUCAAGCGCCCGGGCGCCGGCGGGGGCGCCGGCUACGUCGUGCUGGGGCUGGGGAUCCGGGAGAGGCGGAAGCUCGGCAACCUGCUCUUCUUCGCCUUCUGCGGCGUUUGCCUGCUUCUCGGCGUCGUCAAGAUCUGGGCCGGCGGCCGGUCAGCGCUACCAGCUGGCGAUGAUUUGCAGGAUCUCUCUGCCUCCUUCUCCAGUGAUAAAGGGCAUCAAGUUAACCACUUUGGAUACAUGGGAGGGAAAGAGAGUGACAGGAUGUUGAUGACAGUGGAAUCUAGCAUUGCUGAAAGACAAAGCAGUGUGGCUGAGGCCUCUGGUAUCUGGUCCCAGCCAAGCAGUGAAAAUUUCAGACAAUGCAUUGUUUCAAACUCUCAUAAAAAGCAAGAUUCUCGCAGUAAUGGCUACAUUCUCAUAAACGCAAAUGGAGGUCUGAAUCAAAUGCGAUUUGGGAUAUGUGACAUGGUUGCUGUUGCUAAGAUUUUGAAGGCAACACUGGUUCUACCUUCACUUGAUCAUACAUCCUACUGGGCAGAUGACAGUGAAUUUAAGGAUCUUUUCAAUUGGAGACACUUCAUUGAGUCACUGAAAGAAGACAUUGAUAUUGUUGAAACACUACCUCCUGCAUACAAGCAUAUAGAGCCUCUGGCCAAAGCUCCGAUAUCCUGGUCAAAGGUGAAUUAUUACAGAGAUGAAAUACUCCCUCUCUUGAAGAAACACAGAGUCAUUUACUUUACACAUACAGAUUCUCGCCUAGCAAAUAACGACCUUCCUAGUUAUAUUCAGAAACUAAGAUGCCGAGUUAACUACAGAUCUUUGAAGUAUUCUCAUACGAUUGAAGAUCUUGGUGCUACCUUAGUUUCUAGGAUGCGCCAGGAUGGAAGCCCAUAUCUUGCUCUUCAUCUAAGGUAUGAGAAGGAUAUGCUAGCUUUUACUGGUUGCAGCCAUGGCUUGACAUCGGAUGAGGAAGAGGAGUUACGUAAGAUGCGUUAUGAGGUCAGUCAUUGGAAAGAGAAAGACAUUAACGGAACCGAGAGAAGAAGUAUUGGUGGCUGUCCUUUGACUCCACGGGAAACUUCACUCCUGUUGAAAGGAUUGGGUUUCACGCGGAACACCAGAAUUUACUUAGUUGCAGGAGAAGCCUUUGGCAAUGGAAGCAUGCAAGCGCUGCUGGACGAUUUUCCUUAUAUCUAUUCUCAUUCUACCCUUGCCACAGAAGAGGAACUUGAGCCCUUCAAAAAUCAUCAAAACAUGCUUGCUGGUCUUGACUAUAUUGUAGCUCUCCAAAGUGAUGUCUUCAUGUACACAUACGAUGGAAAUAUGGCUAAAGCUGUGCAAGGCCAUAGGCGUUUCGAGGACUUCAGGAAGACGAUUAACCCAGAUAGGAUGGAUUUUGUGAACCUGGUAGAUGAAUUUGAUGAAGGAAGGAUCCCUUGGGAGGAAUUCAGUUCAGAAGUGAAAAGGUUGCACAAAGAUAGAACAGGAGCUCCAUAUUUCAGGGAGCCUGGAGAGUUUCCGAAGCUGGAGGAGUCUUUCUUUGCAAACCCCUUGCCUGGCUGUAUAUGUGAGAAACAUAGUGAACAAUGA
rnacentral:rRNA from 1 species